AAGGCUGAGUUUUACCGUAAUCCAGCUAUUAGCGGCUGAUUUAUAACACUCGACCAUAACUUAGCCGUCACAUCAUUCCAUAACUAAGCCGUCCAAAAAUAUAACUCGGCCGUGUCGCGGAAAUAAGUCAGCCGUUUUAUCAUAACUCAGCCAUAACGUUGUCUGGGUUAUCGUAUAACUUUUUAUAACUCGACCAACAUUCUUUAACUCAACCAUACCGUUGCCUGGGUUAUAUUACAACUCAGCCGUAACGUCUGGCUGAGUUCUACUCAUACUUCGCCGUUUUGUUAUGACUCAUAGAUUUUUGUCGUAAGUCAGCCGCAAUAUACCGUAACUCAGGCGUAACUGCCGCUGUAUCGCGUUACGGCUGAGUUCAUUUAAUCCACGUCAGCAAAUUUUGACGUGGCAGUGGCAUUCUAUAUAAUUAUGUUUUUUCCAGUAACGUUUAGUAGAGACACGCUGGGUAUUAAAAAAAAAGACAAAAAUAUCAUAAUAAUUAAAAAAAA
rnacentral:sRNA from 1 species